ensembl:lncRNA
UCAUUCUCUCUAGCGGAAUAUAUCUCGAUUCAUAAAUCAGAGCAGCAGCUCUCAGCGAAUACUGCCACUGAGGACACAAAAGAAGACGCAGAGAUGCCAAAAAGAGCAGCUUUGUCUGUGUGCUGUGCCACCAGCAGUGACACCACGGAACAGCAGUGCUCUAAGAGCAGAAGAUAAAAACAGAGAUCAUUUGAGAAAUUCAGCGAAACUUCAGGAGGCAUUAGCUCAGACAGAAUUCAUCCAAAACCAAGACUGAGGAUAGCUGGAAAGCUGGAUUCAGCCUGGAAUUUGUGACAACACCAGGAGGGAGGGCAAAGCGGCUGUCAUGAAGCAAUGUGGGCACCCAUCUCUCCAGCAGCAGA